rnacentral:rRNA from 1 species
GAGUUUGAUCUUGGCUCAGAUUGAACGCUGGCGGAAUGCUUUACACAUGCAAGUCGAGCGGCAGCGCGGGGCAACCUGGCGGCGAGCGGCGAACGGGUGAGUAAUGCAUCGGAACAUGUCCUGUCGUGGGGGAUAGCCCGGCGAAAGCCGGAUUAAUACCGCAUACGUCCGAGAGGAGAAAGUGGGGGACCGCAAGGCCUCACGCGAUUGGGUUGGCCGAUGUCCGAUUAGCUAGUUGGUGAGGUAAAGGCUCACCAAGGCGAUGAUCGGUAGCUGGUCUGAGAGGAUGAUCAGCCACACUGGGACUGAGACACGGCCCAGACUCCUACGGGAGGCAGCAGUGGGGGAAUUUUUGGACAAUGGGGGCGAACCCUGAUCCAGCCAUUCCGCGUGAGUGAAGAAGGCCUC